CCUACGGGAGGCAGCAGUGAGGAAUAUUGGUCAAUGGGCGUAAGCCUGAACCAGCCAAGUCGCGUGAGGGAUGAAGGUUCUAUGGAUCGUAAACCUCUUUUAUAAGGGAAUAAAGUGUGGGACGUGUCCUAUUUUGUAUGUCCCUUAUGAAUAAGGAUCGGCUAACUCCGUGCCAGCAGCCGCGGUAAUCCGGAGGAUCCGAGCGUUAUCCGGAUUUAUUGGGUUUAAAGGGUGCGUAGGCGGCCUUUUAAGUCAGCGGUGAAAGUCUGUGGCUCAACCAUAGAAUUGCCGUUGAAACUGGGGGUCUUGAGUAUAUUGGAGGCAGGCGGAAUGAGUGGUGUAGCGGUGAAAUGCUUAGAUAUCACGCAGAACCCCGAUUGCGAAGGCAGCCUGCCAAGCCAUGACUGACGCUGAUGCACGAAAGCGUGGGGAUCAAACAGGAUUAGAUACCCCAGUAGUC
rnacentral:rRNA from 1 species